rnacentral:rRNA from 1 species
UGGACAAUGGGCGCAAGCCUGAUCCAGCCAUUCCGCGUGAGUGAAGAAGGCCUUCGGGUUGUAAAGCUCUUUCGCGAGGGAAGAAAACUUAUCCUAUAAUAAAGGAUGAGGCUGACGGUACCUUGAUAAGAAGCACCGGCUAACUACGUGCCAGCAGCCGCGGUAAUACGUAGGGUGCGAGCGUUAAUCGGAAUUACUGGGCGUAAAGCGUGCGCAGGCGGUUUUGUAAGUCAGAUGUGAAAGCCCCGGGCUCAACCUGGGAACUGCGUUUGAAACUACAAGGCUAGAGUGUAGCAGAGGGGGGUAGAAUUCCACGUGUAGCAGUGAAAUGCGUAGAGAUGUGGAGGAAUACCAAUGGCGAAGGCAGCCCCCUGGGUUAACACUGACGCUCAUGCACGAAAGCGUGGGGAGCAAACAGGAUUAGAUACCCUGGUAGUCCAUCGCCCUAAACGAUGUCUACUAGUUGUUGGGAGAGUAAAA